UUUCUCUCUUUCUGUAGAAAUCAUAAUAAUUUCAUAAUGGUGUAUAUAUAUUUAGCGAUUCAUACGUAUUUAACUAUUUAAACGUAUUAUAAAACGAUCUCAUAUACAUCUAUACCCAUGCGAUUAAGUCUUACGCAAUUCCAUGUGCGUGAAGCUUAAUAGGUACAUCGGAUUGCUGCUUUCACCUUUGAAUUUAUUAUACUUAGCAUUUCGAUCAACGCACGGACCGAGACAUAUUGGUAUCGACACGUUCUUGAACUUGGUCGAUACCGAUUUUGAUAAAAGGCACUCUCUUUCAGGGGAAUAAAUAUUGGCCGAUUUUAUCUCUCGUAAUGUUUGCGAAAGACAAUCUCCCCGAAAUUUCGAGUUCGAUUGCACGUGACGCAUACAGAGAAUCGAUGGAUCGAGUUAAGCUGACACUGCAACGGAAAUAAAAUUGUGGAUUCCAACGUAGGAAGUUUGGUAGAAGGGAGGCUGCUGGAAAGUUAAUAAAAAAAAAAUAUAUAUUCGUCACGAGGAUGCGUCAGUAGGUAUUUUCGGACUCUCUGAGUUCUUACUUUAUGUUAGAGAAGUUUUCAAACCGUUCUAAGUCGAUGGCUCGACCGCUGAAGUAUGAUCCUCGAAUUUUUAUGAAUUCCUAACGUGGCAGACGUAUAUUUUUUUAUUUCGCGGUUCUCUUUCAAGCUAUUUUUAUUAAAUUGUAGCUUAGAGAUCAUUGGUUUUCGUUUGUUUAUGGUGAUAAAUGCUUUCGUAUGGCGGGCUAGGGAUUCAUGCUAACCGCGUUGAAGGAAAAGAAAAGGCACGUUCGAGUAGCUCCGUCAUCAGACAACUUUACAAGAAACCAUGUGUUUUUGUACUCGAGGUAGUGUCUUGAUAUAUGUGCACUAGCUACAAAGAUCUUGCAUCGCCUUAAUUCUCUCUCUUCGUAUCUCGGUUACCGUACACGCCACGAAAUUACGUGCGGCAUGCACUUGCGCGUUCAUCGACAUUCAACUUAUGUAUACUCGUAAGGGAAAGUUUUACACUUAUCUUUUGCAAUGUGUAAAAUACGCAUCUAUAUAUAGUCACGACAUUUGACGACUAAACAAAUAUUUUCUUAAAACGUAUUCACGUUGAUGAACAUUAAAGGUUAUAUCGAUCGAUGACAGCGACACACUGAUCUGACGGAGCGUCAAGAUGAAAUACUCGAAAGGCAAGCGUUGAUAGGGGGCCGGUAAUAUAUCUAUAGGGCAGAUCUGGCAGUACAAUCGUAAUUAUUCGUAAAGAACGUUCAAAACUCGGUUGAUCGACGAUGCGAAAUCAUGGAUGCCAGGUAUGGUUAGGCGCCUGUCGAUAGGCUACCGUGAUCGGUGAUUGGUCGCGCGGGUCGUGGCGAUGAUGCGUCGUCUGGUUUGGUAAGAAACAAGCUGGGUAAUCAUCAGCUUUCGGAACUCGGUUCGAGUGGGGAGCGUUGGAGUUUUCAGGCUACGAGACACGUCGGUGACGUCAUCUCAGAGCUGGGUCAGCCAUAACCUUGGACAAUGCGCGAAAUGAAUUCUCGUAUGUGUGAUUUCUACUUCGAGAAAACCACACGUUCGUGCAACGUGAUUUCCGUUAUUUUUUUCUUUCCUUGUUUAUUGAAAUCAGUUGACCAUGAAGUACAUUUGUUGGUAAUUCGCGAAUCUCGAACGCGUUUAGAAUUUUCACCAGAUAAUUCAGAGACUAAAUUUUAUCGGAGUACGUACGUAUGUAAAAAUAUGUAGAAAGAAGGACGUUUAGUAAUUUUUGUUGCGCGGAGAAAUUUACGUUGGAAGGUUACAGACAAAACAGGGAGAAGCAAUUCCCCGAAUCGUUGGUGAAGGUAGAGAGCAGAGACUCGAAAAGUGAAAGAGCGUAGUUCUAAAAUUAGUCCAGCGAUAAUCCUAAUGUUAUUAUAGCGACUCGUUAUUGUCUUAUUUUUUAUUGGCUAAACUUGCCGCGAAAUCGGAACAUGGUUGUUACCGAAGCUUUGGCCUUGACCGCGACCCAGGGUCUUCAUCCUCGAGAUAUCGAUUUGUUCUCUCUACUUCUAAUUCUGUAUCCACCUGUAUAUAGCCACGAUAUCGCUACUUCGAAAUAAACAUUCGUCGUAACUCUAGAAAAUAAGAUGGUGUCCGGUUCCUUUCAAUCGUCUUCGAUCUUGUGCAGGAGUCUCGAGUUAUCGAGAGAAGAUUGCGUAAUCUGGGAAGAUUUCCGUUCAACGACAGAGUAUCGUUUCGCAAAAAAUUAGGCGUGAUCUAGCCUUCGGCCGAUCGGUCAAAAUGUUUGUCGUUGAGUCGUUUAUCAACGAUUCGUACGAGCUGAUGUAUCUCUUAUCGCUCGAUUCGAAAUACCAUUAAGUACCAUACGUAAAGGUAGUAUGUAAUAUUUGCAAUAGGUGCAGAAUAUCGGGAGCAAAUAAUGUAACACAAAUGUUAUACGUACGAAUCGAAACCUAACUCAAACCGAAUGGAGUUUCAUUCGAGUUUAGCGGUACUCGAUAGUGGUAACAUGAUUCUACGAAAUUCCAAUUAGUUCGUACGUAUCUUCCGUACCUACGUACCUACUUCCAUAUAUACGUAUAUAAGUACGUUUCUAUAGAAGCGGAAUGAACGACGAACAUGUGACAAUUUGUAUAAAACGCGAUGAUCGAUGUCAUUUUUUCAAUGUUGGCACAAAUGAGACGAUCUAAUUUGCAACAAGGACUCGUGAUCGAGGAGCAUGACUUAAAAUAAAGCGAUCACAACUGCAA